GACGAACGCUGGCGGCGUGCCUAAUACAUGCAAGUAGGACGCAGUUGCGAACGGGUGAGUAACGCGUAGGUAACUACCUAGUAGAGGGGGAUAACUAUUGGAAACGCUAGCUAAUACCGCAUACUAGUAGAUGGACCUGCGUUGUAUUAACGAGUAGGUCGGGUAAUGGCCUACCUAGGGAACGAUACAUAGCAGACCUGGGAGGGUGAUAGGCAACACUGGGACUGGGACACGGCCCAGACUCCUACGGGAGGCAGCAGUAGGGAAUCUUCGGCAAUGGGGGGAACCCUGACCGAGCAACGCCGCGUGAGUGAAGAAGGUUUGCGGAUCGGAAAGCUCUGUUGUUAAGGAAGCGGUACUUAACCAGAAAGGGACGGCUAACUACGUGCCAGCGGCCGCGGUAAUUC
rnacentral:rRNA from 1 species